rnacentral:rRNA from 1 species
GCUGUUAAGGGUUCGUAGUUGAAUUGGGGGCUGACGAGUAAACACUGGCACCGAUCUUCGGAAGGUUUCAACCAGCGUUCUCGCAGCCUGCGAACAUUCGAAACAAACAUCACGGAAUUGUUUUCCCCCAACCUACGCAUACAAUGUAUGCAGGGGGACGUCCGUGCAUCAUUACUGUGCAAAAGAAGGGUGACCAAAGCAGUCAUUCGACGUGAAUUAGAAAGCAUGGGAUAACAAGGAGCGGCCUACGAGCUUCCAGUUUGGCUUUUGUUGGUUUUAAAGGUUUGUGGGAGAUUGUGGUUCGCAAGACCGGCUGAGCGGGGCUACUGUUCCGACAGUCUUCUGCCUUGGUUCCUCACGGGUUCCUUUGUAGACUUGCUGAGUCCAGGAAUGAAGGAGGGUUGUUCGGGGGAGACGUACUUGAGCGUGAGAGGUGAAAUUCUUAGACCGCUCAAAGACGAACUACAGCGAAGGCUUCUCCAAGGAUACCUUCCUCAAUCAAGAACCAAAGUG